rnacentral:rRNA from 1 species
GACGAACGCUGGCGGCGUGCUUAACACAUGCAAGUCGAACGGAAAGGCCUCUUUCGGGGGGUACUCGAGUGGCGAACGGGUGAGUAACACGUGAGUAACCUGCCCUUGACUUUGGGAUAACUUCAGGAAGCUGGGGCUAAUACCGGAUAGGAGCUCCUGCUGCAUGGUGGGGGUUGGAAAGUUUCGGCGGUUGGGGAUGGACUCGCGGCUUAUCAGCUUGUUGGUGGGGUAGUGGCUUACCAAGGCUUUGACGGGUAGCCGGCCUGAGAGGGUGACCGGCCACAUUGGGACUGAGAUACGGCCCAGACUCCUACGGGAGGCAGCGGUGGGGAAUAUUGCACAAUGGGUGGAAGCCUGAUGCAGCAACGCCGUGUGCGGGAUGACGGCCUUCGGGUUGUAAACCGCUUUCGCUCAUGACGAAGCUUUGUGUGACGGUAGUGGGUAAAGAAGCACCGGCUAACUACGUG